GCAACGGUAGCUCAGUUGGUAGAGCAGCAAAAACAUCCUUGUUCACAUCUUAUCCGUCGGGGUCGCAGAGCUUAGGGUUAUCGAAUCAUAAUCGGCAGGACGCAGGUUCAAUUCCUGCCCGUUGCACCA
rnacentral:tRNA from 1 species